GUUUGAUCCUGGCUCAGAUUGAACGCUGGCGGCAUGCCUAACACAUGCAAGUCGAACGGCAGCACGGGGGCAACCCUGGUGGCGAGUGGCGAACGGGUGAGUAAUACAUCGGAACGUGUCCUGGAGUGGGGGAUAGCCCGGCGAAAGCCGGAUUAAUACCGCAUACGCUCUAAGGAGGAAAGGGGGGGAUCUUCGGACCUCCCGCUCAAGGGGCGGCCGAUGGCAGAUUAGCUAGUUGGUGGGGUAAAGGCCUACCAAGGCGACGAUCUGUAGCUGGUCUGAGAGGACGACCAGCCACACUGGGACUGAGACACGGCCCAGACUCCUACGGGAGGCAGCAGUGGGGAAUUUUGGACAAUGGGGGAAACCCUGAUCCAGCAAUGCCGCGUGUGUGAAGAAGGCCUUCGGGUUGUAAAGCACUUUUGUCCGGAAAGAAAACCUCUGCUCUAAUACGGCGGGGGGAUGACGGUACCGGAAGAAUAAGCACCGGCUAACUACGUGCCAGCAGCCGCGGUAAUACGUAGGGUGCAAGCGUUAAUCGGAAUUACUGGGCGUAAAGCGUGCGCAGGCGGUCCGCUAAGACAGAUGUGAAAUCCCCGGGCUUAACCUGGGAACUGCAUUUGUGACUGGCGGGCUAGAGUAUGGCAGAGGGGGGUAGAAUUCCACGUGUAGCAGUGAAAUGCGUAGAGAUGUGGAGGAAUACCGAUGGCGAAGGCAGCCCCCUGGGCCAAUACUGACGCUCAUGCACGAAAGCGUGGGGAGCAAACAGGAUUAGAUACCCUGGUAGUCC
rnacentral:rRNA from 1 species